rfam:Schistosoma mansoni strain Puerto Rico chromosome 2, complete genome
GCACUGCUGAGGAGUCCCAUAAUAGGACGAAACGGCCGUUCACUGC